GAUGAACGCUGGCGGCGUGCCUAAUACAUGCAAGUCGAGCGAACAGAUGAGGAGCUUGCUCCUCUGACGUUAGUGGCGGACGGGUGAGUAACACGUGGAUAACCUACCUAUAAGACUGGGAUAACUUCGGGAAACCGGAGCUAAUACCGGAUAAUAUAUUGAACCGCAUGGUUCAAUAGUGAAAGACGGUUUUGCUGUCACUUAUAGAUGGAUCCGCGCCGCAUUAGCUAGUUGGUAAGGUAACGGCUUACCAAGGCAACGAUGCGUAGCCGACCUGAGAGGGUGGUCGGCCACACUGGAACUGAGACACGGUCCAGACUCCUACGGGAGGCAGCAGUAGGGAAUCUUCCGCAAUGGGCGAAAGCCUGACGGAGCAACGCCGCGUGAGUGAUGAAGGUCUUCGGAUCGUAAAACUCUGUUAUUAGGGAAGAACAAAUGUGUAAGUAACUAUGCACGUCUUGACGGUACCUAAUCAGAAAGCCACGGCUAACUACGUG
rnacentral:rRNA from 1 species